AUUGAACGCUGGCGGCAGGCCUAACACAUGCAAGUCGAACGGUAACAGGAAGAAGCUUGCUUCUUUGCUGACGAGUGGCGGACGGGUGAGUAAUGUCUGGGAAACUGCCUGAUGGAGGGGGAUAACUACUGGAAACGGUAGCUAAUACCGCAUAACGUCGCAAGACCAAAAAGGGUGACCUUCGGGCCUCUUGCCAUCGGCUGUGCCCAGAUGGGAUUAGCUAGUAGGUGGGGUAACGGCUCACCUAGGCGACGAUCCCUAGCUGGUCUGAGAGGAUGACCAGCCACACUGGAACUGAGACACGGUCCAGACUCCUACGGGAGGCAGCAGUGGGGAAUAUUGCACAAUGGGCGCAAGCCUGAUGCAGCCAUGCCGCGUGUAUGAAGAAGGCCUUCGGGUUGUAAAGUACUUUCAGCGGGGAGGAAGGGAGUAAAGUUAAUACCUUUGCUCAUUGACGUUACCCGCAGAAGAAGCACCGGCUAACUCCGUG
rnacentral:rRNA from 1 species